CACCAAAGAGAAGGCAGCCAAGAGUCAGGCGUCACCGAAGCCGGCCCCGGCGCCCGCGCCCGACUCCAGCGUGCCUUGCGACUGGCUGGUGGGGGACGUGGUGUGGGCACGGGUCAGCGGGUACCCGCUCUGGCCGGCCAUCGUCCUCUACGACACCGGGGAGGGACAGUUCACCAAGGUCGUCAGGAAGGCCGGCUGCAAGACGUCGCGGCGGUACCACGUGCGCUUCUUCGGCGACCUGUGCCGCGGCUGGAUCCACCCGAACAACCUGCGCCCGUUCGAGGGGCGCGCCCAGUUCGACCAGCUGGCGCGCGCCGAGCAGGCCGGGCCGCGGCGCGUCGCCGGCAAGGAGAGCAGCCAGUUCCGUCUCUCCAGCCGCAACCUGCCCAAGUGGCUGACGGGCGUGGCCGAGGCCACGGCCAGCGCCGCGCUGGAGAGGUACGAGCGCGUAAAGCCGUUCGUGGCGCAGGACGAGCCGGGGGCCCCCGCUGCGGAGCCAGAGCCGGCUCCUGCACCCAAGCCAAAGCCGCGCCGGCGCAAAUCCGCGCCCGCCUCGGUACAGGCGUCCGCCACCCCCGCUCCCUCCGCCACCGUCACCGCCUCCUCUCCCGCCCCUGGCACCGCCCCCAG